UUUGGCGGUGAGGGAUAAGGAGAUGUAGAGAGAGUCUGUCAGGGAGUAUUCUCCAGAUGGUCCACUCUGCUCUAGCCCCGGCCGAGUACAAAGACUACUUUCCCACAGAGACGCAUCUCCAACCCAGACAUGAAGCAACACCGUCGCUCACUCUCUGGAAGUUCGCGUGUCGCGCACGCGCGCUGAGCACCCGUGGCUGCCGGGCCUCAGUGCGCCUGCGCAGCGACUCGGCUUUCUGAGGCGCGCGUUUGCCCAGGUGUUGAGCGGCGUCGCCUGGCUAACGUGACCAAGCUUUGAGAAGUUGGGAUUGCGGAGCUGCUGGGUUGUGCGCGGUGGCUGGCCACAGUACCCAGCCGGUACUGGGCUCCGGAGCCGCCGGCAGUUUCGGCUGUGAGGAGUUAAACGCCGGGGGCUCUGGCGCUCCUCCGUUGGGUGUGAGAACGGAUUUGAGACUCGCACCCGAGACACAGACCUCGGGAAGAUCCGCAAAGCUGCCUGUGCGGGGACACGGCCGGAGGGCAGCGCCUCCUCUUUGUUGGGGAGAAACACGGACAGGUGCUUCCACCUUGGAGAGAGCAUGGACUGGAGGGUAAGCAUUUACUGGAAGCACUGUUAUCAAAGACGGAAGACAACAGCUAAUCAUUUGGGGAAGACCAGUGUAUGCUCAAGAGAUGGAAAGCUUUUUUGCUUGGAAAUUACAGGUUCAAAAUUGCUAAGACAAAAUGCUGUAAGUUCUUAGGCUGGUUAGGAAAACAUGUAGGUAUGAGAGUAGCAUGCUAGAAACUAGUCAAGGAAAUUAGGAUAAAUGCUGUCUGAACGGGGAGAUUGUAAAAGCAAGUGAAUCUAGUCUGACAGAUAGAAUUAUCUCAUAGGAUAAACAGUGUUUCUAUUUUUCUAGGUCCAGAAGACCAUUGCAGACUGACAUAUUUUUCAGUUUUUGCCAUGUUAUAAGUAUUCUCUCGCCUGGAAAGAUGUGAAAUUGUUAAAUUGUCGCUCUUAUCCCUGAAACCCGGCACUACGUGAUUCUAGUGAUUGUGAUGAAUAUAAUAUAAACACUUCACAGUAAGAAGAAAGGGAAGCACACGAUAACUUGCACAGUUAUUUUCUGCACAUUGUGUGUGGCACAUUGUGCAUGCCUACCCAGUUAUAUCACCAAGAACUCAAGUGCUUUGCAUCUCUCUUCUCUGCCAUUGUCAGCACGUAUCUCAUUCUCAGGUGAGUUCUCAUUGUCACAAGCUUGCUGCAGCAUUUUCAGAAACACAUUGAGACAGGACACAAACCAGCCAGAGAAGAAUGAUUUAUCUCAUGUACCUCUUAAAAGUAGAUUGAGACUUAUCCAUGCCUGACUCUCAAUGAGAUAGUUAAAAAGUAUGCAGGUACUUCUAAAAAGUUCACAGAGGAAAUAAGAAAGGAAUUUAUUGAGGACAAAAAAUAUUAAAAUCUGUGUAUACAACUGAUCUUCAAAAACCUUAUGAAAAAUGAAUAUUAUAAAAUCUGCAUGAAUUACCAAAAAAUCUUUAAAUUCUCUUUUGCAUGAUCAUUUUGAAGUCCCCUCAUAUUUAAUAGUAGAGUUUGCAUUUUCUCUUUGGAAACUUUUUCAGAUUAGACAAGACAGUUUAUUUUUUUUUAAUAUUUAUUUAUUUUAUUUGAAAGUCAGAGUUACACAGAUAGAGAAGGAGAGGCAGAGAGACUGAGGUCUUCCAUCUGCUGGUUCACUCCCCAGUUGGCCGCAACAUCCACAGCUGGGCAGAUCUGAAGCUAGAAGCCAGGAGCUUCCUUCAUGUCUCCCACAUAAAUGCAGGGGCCCGAGGACUUGGGCCAUCUUCUACUACUUUCCCAGGCCAUAGUAGAGAGCUGGAUUGGAAGUAGAGCAGCCAGGACUAGAACCGGUGUCCAUAUGGGAUGCCAGCACUGCAGGCGGUGGCUUUACCUGCUACACCAUAGCGCCGGCGCAAGGUCAAACAGUUUUGGUGAGGAAAGUGACAACUUUGGUGAGCUUCUUUUAAGCAAAAUGGUAUUUUUGUUUAAUGUCUUUAAAUGAAUCUCAUAUCUUUUUAUGUCUUUUCUAUCCAUAAUUAUUAUAGCUAUGGAAAGAAAACACUUUGCAGCCCAAAAUAAGAUAUUUUUAGAAAUAAUACCAAAUGGUUUAUAAUGAAUUGUCCAGUCUUUAUCUAACCAUCCAUUUAACUGAUUCGUAGAGGAUUUUUCUUCUUUUUACCAGUAGAGGGUGCUACAAUCCUGAGUAUAAAAGCUUUUCUUAAGGCAGAUAUAACAUCACAACUUUUAUCUUGUUGAAAUAUUACACCUUUAAAUUUACAAUCUGAGUACUAGAAAUGUGAAGUGAUGUAUAUUUUAUAAUUUGUAACUUUGGAACUAUACAAGGAAACUUCAAAAAGUUCAUGGAAAAUGGAAUUUAAUGGUAAGUUUAUUUUGGUGCAAAAUUUUUUGAAAUUCAUGUAUAGAUUUUUUCAUAACAUGAAUUUCCAUCAAUGUUUGCAUACCCUUCUAUGCUUGGAUUCUAAGAUUUAUUUUUGUGCCAAAGUCAACUCUCAAUUCUAUCUUCCAUAGUUUUUUUAUGGAUUACCAGUACAUUGUUUAUGAUAUUCCAGUUACUCAGUAUUUCUUUGUAUAUCUCCUAAUAUGAACUUCUUUGCCUGCCUAAGCAAACUUCAUUACAAGGUAUGUGUUUCCCUUACCUUGCUUUCACCUUUACUCAUGUGUCCCUGUUUUCUGGAUCACCAGUGUUUGUCAUCUGUCUGUAUAUGAUUUGCUUGAGACCCAGUUCAGAACCAACUCUCAGUUUGUAUAGCAUGGUGCAGUUCCUGUUGGUACUUAAGCAAAUGUUUAUUUUAUGUUUAUUAGAGGAAAUAACAGCUUUUAUUUUUCUACUAUUAAAUCAUAAACUUGAUAAAUACAGGAUGUUCAAUUAAAUUUGAAUAUCAAAUAAGCAACACUUUUGUAUAAUUAUGUCUCAGAAAUAUUUGUGAUAUGCUCACCAUAAAAUUUAUCUGAAAUUCGUAUUUAAUGAUAUGAUUUGUAUUUUUAUUUGCUAAACCUGUCAACCCUAAACAUAAACAUGUAGAGCAGAAUCAUUGUCGUGUUCAUCAUAUUCUUAACUGCAGAGCAUGUGUCAACUCAUAGAGAAUGCUCAAUGGAAAAGAGUGAAAAUGGACUAAAUGACUUAGUUUUUAUAGAAUGAAUGUUUUCACUUUGGAAAAUAACCGCUUUUAAAUGAUCUGCAUUAGUUUUGCAUUAAUGUGUUGGCAAUGAAUUUUUAUUCAUUCUAAAAAGGAAAUAGUUGUAUGAAACCACUGAGUUAAGUAGAAAUUUACAGACUUAAAAUAAAAAUUGGAGGGAACAUUGAAAGAUAUUUAUGUGCCUUAAUAAAUCUCUUAGGGUUGUUAAGAAAUGUUAUGUGGUUAAGAAAAUUCUCUUGCAAAAUAAUUAUGGAUUUCUUAAAAAUUAUGAUUUUAAAAGAUGCAUUAUGUAUAGAAUCAAAAACAGAGUUAUAAAAAGAUGGUACCAGUACUAUUCAUCAUUUAGAGUAAUGGGAUUAUUCUCAUAUGUUGCUUUGAAAAGGAGGGAAAACUAUUGUAUAGUUAUUACCCUAUUUGAAUAAAUACAUAUUUCAUAUUUAUUCAAAAAUUCCUGUUAGUCUGGCUACCCUCAGCUAAACCUAAGACAUCUGUUUACAAAUUUCUUAUGCUUUUGAUUCAUUGACCUAGAAAAAGAAAAGAAUACCCCCUAUCAACAUGUAAAUACUAUUUUAUGUCUGAAUCCUUUCCCUGACUCUUGGAAGAUAAAUGUUGGACAAUCUUAUGAUCAAAUUCCAUUAUAUACGGCAUGAUGUUACAUUAGUGUUUAGAGAGAUGAAAUUAUACUGAUACAGCCAAUAUGUUCAUGGUUGUCUAUAUACUCUUAUGUAUUCCAGAAGCUAUUUAGAAAGUUCUUGCACUUUACCUAGUAAGAGCCCUUUUAUAAAUUCCCACAAAUAUGUAUAGAAUCUCAUAGAAAAGCAUAGGUUCAGUCAAUCCCACUACAUUUUAAGACAGAAGGUAAGUUCAUAAUUCUUGGAGGCCAAGAGAAGUGACUCUGAGCUUCUCUUAGUGGUUUGCUUCUGAUCAGUCAGGCACUAAAGGGCACAGGUUUGCUUUUUCACAUGGGACCAUUUCUCUCUGGCCCCUGCUACUGCAUCUCUUUGUGGUCUCCCUCUUCUUGUCUUUAUCCCCAGUCUUCUUGUGCAGAUGCUGUCGUGGGGCCCCAUUGUGGGGGAGGAGCAUCCGAGGGCUGAUCUGUUUCUGUCCUAGUGGCCUGGGAAGACAGACUUCUUUCCUCCACCCCUUUCCCAAGUAGUCAUUGAGACAGACCAGAGGUUUCAUGAUUAGGAACUUCAUGUCCAUGUACCCUGAUCCCUGCAGUGGCUCCAAAGGAAGAAAAAUCCGUACAAAAUUUGGACCUGUGGGUAGAUUUUUUCCCCAGCAGUCAGUGCUGUUAACAAUACAUUCAGCCUGGUGUUUCUGAUUACUCUUCUCUCCUCGUUCCUUGGUCUGAGGGAGGUCAUACUGAAGGUUUUUCUUCAAACAGUAUCACAUAUGACUUGGACACAUUCAAAUUUUAAAUUCAUUUGCAAAAGGAACUUUGUUUAAAUGAUUUAUUUUUCAGUUUAAGUAAAACUUUAGACUAUAGAUCCUAAUUCAAACAAUUUUCCUCCAUGACUUACUGUUUUAAAUAAAUAAAUCUUCAAAAUGAUUUUUGCGGUUUUGUAGACCUUUCAGUAUUCUAGCCAUUUUCAGUCUUCUUCUGAUUUAUUUAAUUCUUCCUACUUUAUUAUAGUUGAAUAAUAUAUUUGCACAUUAUUCCUGAUGUUCAUUAAAAAUUUAAAAUAUCAGGUAUGUGGUUCUUACCUGUUAACAAUGAAUCCAGAUGUUUUCUACUGAAAGGGUGCCAGGUUUUCUUACUAUCAUAGAUCUAACUUUGGAGAAUAAAUUUGGAACAAUUCUGUAGGGACGAUUGGUCACAGAUGGCUGAGUGAUAAUAAAUCUCCAGAUUGAGAUAGAGUCCUUCUGGAUUGCAGCACUUGAAUUGAUUUUAAUAAUUUGAAAUAUUCUAUCCUUUAUCAACCAAGUAAACAUAGGUAUUCCUUAUUUAAGUUAUUCUGAUUUUGCAAAAGACAUGUAAUUAUAUUAUAACUCCUUAAUUUUAUCCUUGGUCUUAAACCCCAUACUGUGACAUCUGUGUCAAAACUUUACUCUUUUCCCCCAAACCAUAAGAGUUUAGUUUCUUAAUAACCUGAAAAUAAAACAAACAAACAAAAAGAGACCCUCUUGCAGGAAAUGUUCCCAUGUGUCCCAAGCUGAGCUAUACUGCUCUUUCUCCUAUUCAUGAUCAUAUUUAGCACAUAGCAUAAUCAUUACUGGCUUAUAUAACUGAGCUCCUUGGAGGCAGGAACUAUUUCUUAUUAAUCAUUGCAUCUCCACUGCUUAGCAGAGUUCCUGGUAUUCAUAGAUGCUCACUAAAGAAUGAAGAAAAGUCAUUUAUUGGGAGUUUUAUAUUCAGUCACCUCUUCUGCCUAGAAAAUGAUAUAGGAAGGAAUGAAUACUUCAGUUAUUUUAGAAAAAUGUUUUUGACUAAUUUACAAGCCAAAGGAACUUUACACAUUGUUAUUCAUAUAAGAAUUUUAGCCCAGUUUCACAAUAUGAUUUAUUACAUUAGAGAUGUUAGAACAUUGUUUUGUUUUGUUUUGUUAAUUUUACAAAUCAGGGCCCCAGUAGAACCUGAUGCCAUAUUCACAUUAGGGUAACUUGUGGCAGGUAAGGGUGUUUUAGGAAGGUACUAUGUAAAAAGAGUGGGCAACAUUAGCAUCCCAUAUGGGCGCUGAUUCAAAUCCUGGCUGCUCCAUUUCUGAUCCAGCUCCCUGCUAAUGUGCCUGGAAAAGCAGCAGAAGUGACCCAAUUGCUUGAGUCUCUGUAACGCAUGUGGGAGACCCAGAAGAAGCUCCAGGAUUUGGUCUGUCCCAGCCUUGGCUGUUGCAGACAUUUGGGGAGUUAACCAGUGGAUGGAAAAACUCUGCCUUUCAAACAAAUAAAUAAAUCUUUAAAAAUGUGCUAAUAAGUAUAUCACCUAAUUCUGAAAGCAUUGAGCAGUAUAGGUUUAUACAAAAACAUUUGUUGAACUUCUAAUCACUACUAGGCACCAUGCUAAAAUGCUGGGGAAAACGUGGCAAGCAAGAGACGUGGUUGGAGCCGUCAUGAAGCUCUCAGUCUGGCAGGCCAUUAGUGCUCCUCUGAUGAGUAAAGCUCUUGGUGAUAUGAUUGUUUCUGAAUGCUGGAGGAUGCCCAGUCUUCUGUGUUAUGAAUGAGUCCAGCUCCAAGACCGUCUUGUAAGUGUCUUGUAUCUCCAGAUUGUCAAGGAUGACAUAUCUAAUUCCUCAAGUCCUGGAGAUCACUUCAAGAUUGAAAGCUCUGGAUUAAAAUUCCUGAUUCUAUUCAUAGAAAGGCACAGAUACUCUGAUGCCUCAUAGACACAUCACCUAGAGAGGAGUGUGUCCAAAUGAAGGUUCCGCUUCCCAACCCUUUCUUUUCCAUUCUCAUCUGUGGCUAUCUGUGGUCCAUCACCAUAACCGUAUCAGACCAAGGCCUUGUCAAGGUGUUCUAUUCAGUGCCCUGGAACUGGAAUUGAAGACACAGGCUGCCCGGAUACUUGCCUCAUUUCUCAUAGGAUCAUUCCUAAAUCAAUUUUUUAAAAGAUUUAUUUUUUAUUUGAAAUGCAGAGUUACAGAGAGACAGAGAGAGAGAGAGAGAAUGAAUCUUCCAUCCGCUGAUUCAUUCCUCAAAUGGCUGUAACAGCUGGAGCUGGGCCAAUCUGAAGCCAGGAGCCAGGAGCUUCUUCACGGUCUCCCGCAUGGGUGCAGGGACCCAAGGACUUGGGCCAUCUUUUACUGCUUUCCCAGGCCAUAGCAGAGAGCUGGAUCGGAAGAGGAGCAGACAGGACUUGUAUUGGCAUCCAUAUGGGAUGCCGGUGCUGCAGACUGUAGAUGGCAGCUUUACCCACCAUGCCACAGCACUGGCCCCUCCUAAAUCAAUUUAAUAUAGUUGAUAUUUGUGAAUGGAAGUAGAAUUAGUAUGUCUGAUUUGUUGAUUCUUAUUUUAAAGUCUUUGUAAACAUUAGUACAUGGAGUUCUUUGGAUCUGAUUAUAUUGUGUCACAUUCCUGUUCAUAUUCCUUCAUGUUUUCAUGCCUCCUUUGGUGCAUUAGCUAUUUAGUUUUUGUCAGGUAUCACAAUUGCAGAUUUAUUUGUAGAGAUAAUUUCAGGCCUAGGAUGAUCUCUUCCUCUGGUGAGGACUAUAGCUUUUUCCAGGUCCCUGGGACCUCUGGCAACCUGGAAUCAUCUUAGACCUCUUUUAGACACCAUGAAGCUCUGAAGCCGACAGCAGCUGGGAGGGCCUCUCAGUUUCCAGCUCACCUUUAGUUGACUGGCGGAUGCACAACUUUAGGAUCCCAACUUACGGCAAGACCUUCUUUCCAAACCAGAUUGUGGCUGUGGGAGGGGAGGCUCUCAUUGUCUUUCUCUUUCUGUCCUCUUAGGCUGCUAGGUUGUCACUCAGUCUCUCUGCCUCUCAGACAGUAACUCUCUGAAUUUAGUGUUAGUUCAAUACUGAGGUAGCCUCAAAAUCAAGGAGUGGAUGAGGAGGAAAGGAGGAAUGAAUGAACAACAACAAAAAGGAGCAAUUUAAAAACUUUAAAUCAUUCAGUAGUGUAAGUUAUUUGAAGAAUGAGAAUGUCUGGGACCUGAAUCAGGGAAACAUGGUAUAAAGGAUUAGAGCCAUGAAUGAAAGUCCGUGUUGAACCCAAAGAUCAAUCAGGAGAGAAUGAAACAUUAAAUAAUUGUAAUAAAGUUUAUUGUUUUUUGUGUUUUUUAGGCCUUUCAUUUCUAUCAGCAAUGUCUUUAGCUUUCUGUUAGAGAUUUGGCAUAUUUUUGUUGGAUUAAUUCCCAGGUAUUUGGUUUUUUUAAUGGUCUUGUAAAUGGCAUUCUAUUUUUAUGUUUCAUUUUUCACUUGUUGGUUUUAUAUAGAGAUGCAAUUGAUUUCAUAUAUUGAUCUGGCAUCCUGAAACUUUGCUAAUUCUCUUGUGCAUAAUCACGUAGUCUGCUAAUAGGAACAGUUUUAGUCAUUCCCUGCUUUGUAAUAUUUAUGAAUUUAACAUCUUUCCUUUUUUUAUUUACUUGAAAGUCAAGAGUUACAGAGAAAGAGGGAUAGACACACACACACACAGAUUUUCCAUCCAUUGUUGCACUUCCAAGAUGACCACAGUGGCCUGGCUGGGCCAAAGCCAGGAGCCAGCACCUUAUUUCAGGUCUCGCACUUGAGUAGCAGGGGCCCAAUACUUGGGCCAUACUCUGCUGCUUUCUGAGGUGCAUUAGCAGGGAGCUGGAUUGAAAGUGGAGCAGCUGGGACUCCCCAGACACCCAUGUGGGAUGCUGGCAUCCUGUACUGUGGCUACACCUGCUGUGCCACAGUGCCGAACUCUCAUAUUAAUAUACUGAAUUACAUUGGUUGCUGUUGAGUGCUAAUUCACCUUUGCAUGUCACUGGGGGAAAGAACAUUCCAUGACUUAUUGCUGGCUUUUAUUUACUAAUGUCUUGCUGAUUUUUGUAUGUGUGAUUGUGAGAGAUACUUGUGUAUAAUUAUAUGCUUUGGAAUAUCUUAAUUUUGUAGUUUAGAAUUAUGCCAACUUUGUGAAAUGGAUUGGAAAUAUUUUUGUCUCCUCUAUUUCCUGAAUUUGUGAGAGAUUUUAAAUUUUUUUCCUUUAAUAUAUAAAUUAAUUCAGUAUUGGAACAAUCUUAGAUAAAUUAUGUUUUGUGUUGGAAAGUUUAUGAUCACAUAAACAUUCCUUUAUAGAUGUGGACUAUUUGAAUUCUGUGUAACUUUUUUUUUGACAGGCAGAGUGGAUAGUGAGAGAGAGAGAGAGAGAAAGGUCUUCUUUUUGCCGUUGGUUCACCCUCCAAUGGCCGCCACGGCUGGUGCGCUGCAGCUGGCGCACUGCACUGAUCCGAAGCCAGGAGCCAGGUGCUUCUCCUGGUCUCCCAUGGGGUACAGGGCCCAAGGACUUGGGCCAUUCUCCACCGCCUUCCCGGGCCACAGCAGAGAGCUGGCCUGGAAGAGGGGCAACCGGAAAAGAAUCUGGCGCCCCGACCGGGACUAGAACCCGGUGUGCUGGCGCCGCUAGGUGGAGGAUUAGCCUAUUGAGCUGCGGCGCUGGCCUGUGUAACUUUAUUUAAACUUUUAAUUAAUAUGUAAUAUUGAUAUUUUUAUAGAGUACAGUAUAACACCUCAACAUGUGUGUAUCUGUGUAUAUAUAUUUUUUUCCAUAGUGAUCCAUCCAUGCAGUUAGCCUUUUAAUUUCUUUUUUUUUUUUUUUUACUUUUUAAAUCAUUUAUUUAUUUGAAAGUCAGAUUUACACAGUGAGAGAAGGAGAGGCAGAGAGAGAGCAAGAGAGAAAGAGAGAGGUCUUCCAUCCUCUUGUUCACUCCCCAAUUGGUCUCAACUGUUGGAGCUGAGCCGAUCCAAAAGAGGGAGCCAGGAGUUUCGGGGUCUCGCACGCAGGUGCAGGGGCCCAAGGACCUGAGCCAUCUACUAUUGCUUUCCCAGUCCAUAGCGGAGAGCUGGAUUGGAAGUGGUGAAGCUGUGACUCGAACCAGCACCCAUAUCGGAUGCUGGCACUGCAGGUGGCAGCUUUACCUGCUAUGCCAAGCGCCAGCCCUGCCUUUUAAUUUCUUUAUCUUUUUCUUGUGUUUUAGAACCUGCCACUGCCUCUCCUCCAGUUCUUUAUACAAUGUAAGACAUUAUUCUGAACAAUAGUUACUAGCUGUAGAGCAGAACUGGUUACUUCUGUUUGUGCUUUGGUACCUAUUAUCCGGACUCUGGCUGUCUUGCUCCCUCUCCCCUUCUUGUCUACAGCAAUCACUACUCCAGGUUUGGAUUGACUACUUUUUAACUUCCACAAAUGAGGGAGAACCUACAAUGUUUGUCUUUCUGUUUUGGCUUAUUUCACUUAGCAUAAUGAUCUCCAGUUGCAUUUCAUUUUACAAAUUAAAAGAUUUCAUACCUUUAUGACUGUAAUAUUCUAUCAUGUAUAAUUGUGACAUUUUCUUUAUUCACUCAUCCCUUGAUGAACAUCUAGAUUGAUUCCCUUUCUUGACUAUUGUGAAUAGUGCUGCAGUGAACAUAGGAAUCCAGGUAUCUCUUUCACAUGCUACUCUCAAUUCUUUUACGUGUAUACACAGAAGUAGGAUGCCUGGGUCAAAUGAUAGACCGAUUUUUAAUUUUUUGAGCAACCUCCGUGGUGUUCUGUCUAAUGACUUUACUAAUUUGUUUUCCCACCAUAUUCUUGGUGGUAUUUAUUAUGUUUUGUCUUUUUGAUAAUAUUCAUUCUAAGAGAAGUGAAAUGAUACCUCCUUAUGUAUUUUUUUAAUUUAUUCAUUCAUUCAUUUGUUUGUUUGAAAGGCAGGUUUGCAUAGAGAGAGACAGACAGAUUUUUCAUCUUCUACCCACUGACUGCAACAACUAGUGCAGAGCUGGGUUCAAACCAGGAGGCAGGAGCCAAUAGCUUCAUCUGCGUAACCCACAUGGGUGAAGGGACCCAAGGACUUGGGCCAUUCUUCACUGCUUUCCCAGGCACCUUAGCAGGGAGCUGGAUCAGAAAUGGAGCAGCUGGGACUCAAAGAGGUACUCCUAUGGUAUGCCAGAUUUAACUCAUUGUGCCAGAAUGCCAGCCCAUCAUUCUGGUUUUGAUCUUCAUUUCCCUGAUACCUAGUGUUGUGGAGUGUUUUAUCAUGUAUUUGUUGGUUAUUUGUAUUUCUUCUUUUGAAGUACGUCUGUCUAGAUCUUUUAUCCAUUUCUUGACUAGAUUUUUUUCUCUUUCUAGUUGAGUUUUUUGAAUUUCUUGUAUCUUCUGGAUAUUAAUUAUUUGUCACAUUAAUAAUUUGAAAAUAUUUUCUCCCAUCUGUUUGCUAUCUCUUCACUUCAUUGAGUGUUUGCUGAGCAGAAUCUUCUUACUUGGAUAUAAUCUCAUUUGUCUGUUUUUGCUUUUGUUAUCUGUGCUUUGCGAUCUUAUCCAAGAAGUUUUUCCUAUACCUAUGUCUUGAAGUGUUUCUCUUGUAUUUUUUUCUAGUAGUUUCAGGUCUAACAUUUAGUACUUUGAUCCAUUUUAAAUUGAUUUUUGGUGUGUGUGUGUGUGUGUGUGUGUGUGUAUUAGGGUUGGCGGUUGUUUCAAUCUUCUGCAUAUGAAUGCCUAAUUUUCCCACCAGUAUUUAUUGAAGGGGCUGACCUUUCUUCAGCAUAUGUUUUGGCAUCUUUGUUAAUGAUUUUUUGGCUUUGUGUCAUUUAUAGGUUAUAUUUUGUAAGGGAUUUUCUAUUUCAUAUCAAUUUUCAGCUUAAUAGGCAAAAUAUUUAUUAUGUUCCCAUAUUCCUUACUUGUAAAUUCCUUUGAUUUAAUUUAGUUUAUUUAUUUGAAAGGCAGAGUGACUGAGAGAGAGAUGGAAAGAGAGAGAGAGAUCUUCCAUUCACUGGUACACUCCUCAGAUGUCUGCAACAGCCUGGACUGGGACAAGCCGAAACCAGAAGCCAUCCAGUUCUCCCAUGUGGGUGGUAGGGGCCCAAGUACUUUGUCCACCUUUGUAAAGUUCCCAGGUGUAUUAGCAGGUAGCUGGCUUGGAAGUGGAGAGGCCAGGACUUGAACUGGAACUCAUAUAUUGUAUGCCUGCUUUGUAGGCAGCUUGUUAAUCUGCUUGACCGCAUGUCACCACCUCCCCUCUUCCCUUCCCUUACUCCUCCCCCCAUAAAUUUUUUCAAGUGCUUAUAUGAUCUGUGGUAAAAUUUUCCUUUUUUAUCCUUGAAAUAGGUAUUUAUGCUUUUCCUUUUUCCCCCUUAAAUAGCCUUGCUGGAGUUCUAUCAAUUGUACAAUUCUUCUCGAAACCUUACUUUCACUGUUCUUCAAUAUUAGUCCAUUUUUUGUUUUAUCUUUAUUCUUACAUUCAUGACUUCUUUCUUAGGUUUAAUUUGUUCUUUUUCCCACACUUACUGUAUAUGGGGUUUCUCCCCAGCGUGGACCUUCUGAGGGACAUGGGAGUCUGAGUCUGGCCACAGUGCUUCCCGUGAUGGCAUUUGCAGAAUGUCUCACCCGUGUGCAGUCUCUGGUGUAUGAGAAUUUGAUAGUUACUUGAUAAUUUGAUUGUUGUUUGAUUUUGACUUGUCCUACAGAGCCUAUAAUAUUUACUGAUCCCCACUCUUAUAUUUAAAGUUUCUAUUUCUUUUACUUUUCAAAUCAUGCUAAAUGUUAUCUUCAGGAUUUUCUACAUACAAGAAGGUAUUAUUUGUAAAUAGAUAAUUUUGUAUUUUUAUUCUAGUUUGGAUUUUUUUUUUAUUUCUUUUUCUUGCUUAACUGCUCUGGCUUAAACUUCCAAUACCGUUUUGAAUAUAGAUGAGGAAAGUGAAUAUCCUUUCCUUGACCCAUGUCUUAGAAGAAAAGAUUUCAAGGUUUCACAAGUAAGUGUGAUGUUCACUGUGUGUGGGCUUUUCUUAUAUGGCUUUAUGUUGUGCUGGCCUCCUUCAAUUGCCAUUUAUUGAUUGGUCUGUUUUUUUUUUUUUUAAAUCAGAAAAUAGUGUUAAAUAUUGUCAGAUUAGUAAAUCAUGGACAAAAUACCUUUUCUCCCUCAUUAACACAAAAAAUGCUGUUAUUUUCCCUCUUCAAUCUGUUAAUGUAGGGUAGGACAUUGAUUGAUUUUCAUAUGUUCAAUGAUCUUUAUAUUCCAAAAAUAAAUCUCAUUUGGUUUUUGUGUAUAAUAUAGUGCUGAAUUGUUUGCUAGUAUUGUUAAAGAUUUUUAAAUCAAUGAUCACAAGUUAUAUUGGCCUGUACUUUGCUUUAUUUAAGGGUCAGGCUCGUCUGUGACCAUUGCACCCUAAACGCGCCUGAUCUCGUCUGAUCUUGGAAGGUCAGGCUUCAGUAUCAUGGUAAUGCUGGUCUUAUAGAAUGAAUUAGAAAUUAUCCUCUACUCCAAAAUUUUUCUGAAAAUGUUUCAGGAGGAUUGGUGUUAGUUCUUUAAAUAUUUGGAGCAGUUCACCAUUGCAGCCAUCAGACCCAUUUCUUCAUUUUGUCAGGCAAUUUUUACUAAUUCGGUCUUCAUGUUAAUUAUAGGUAUAUUCAUGUUUUCUAUUUCUUUCUGAUUCUGUCUUGGUAGAUUUUGUGUUUUUAGGAAUUUGUCCAUUUCAUCUAGGUCAUCUGAUUAGUUAGUAUACAGUUGUUCAUACUAUUCUAAUACUUUCAUUUCUUAGAAUUGGUGGUAAUAUUCUCUUUUUUGUCUAAGACGUAGUACUUUGAGGCCUCUCUUGCUUUUCUAAGUCUAUGUAUCUAAGGGUUUUUUUAAUGUUUAUCUUUUUAAAGAAACAAGUUUCAGUCUCGUUUCAGUCUCAUUGGUUUUCUCAAUUUUUUUUUUUUUUUUUUGACAGGCAGAGUGGACAGUGAGAGAGAGAGAGAGAAAGGUCUUCCUUUGCCGUUGGUUCACCCUCCAAUGGCCGCCGCGGCCAGCGCACCGCGCUGAUCCGAAGGCAGGAGCCAGGUGCUUCUCCUGGUCUCCCAUAGGGUGCAGGGCCCAAGGACUUGGGCCAUCCUCCACUGCACUCCCUGGCCACAGCAGAGAGCUGGCCUGGAAGAGGGGCAACCGGGACAGAAUCCGGCGCCCCAACCGGGACUAGAACCGGCCGGUGCCGCGAGGCGGAGGAUUAGCCUAGUGAGCCGCGGAGCCGGCCCUCAAUUUUUUCCUUAUUGUCUGUCAUAUUUAUCUCUUUUCUAAUCUAUGUUAUUUUCUUCCUCUUGGUGGUUUUCACUAGUUGCCCUUCCUCCCCUUUUUUUCAUUCCUCAAGUUGAAAUAUUACGUGAUUUCUCACAUUUAAAAAAGAGAGAGAAAGGCAGAUAGAAGUAGAGUUUCCAAAUGCCCACCACAGCCAGGGCUGGGGCUGACCAAAGCUGGGAGCAUGAAACUCAGUCCAGUUCACCACUGCCUUACAGUGUGCAUUAGAAGGAAGCUGGAGUCAGCAGUCCGAGAAAGGAAUUGAACCCAGGCAUUGCAAUAAGAGUUAACACCCACUCCUACUUUGAAAAUUUGAUAAUGUUAUCUAUUAUUUAGCAUUUUCAAUCUGCAGAUGAUUACAAAUUUAAUUGAGCAACAGCUAAUUUAACAAUAUUCUAUAUCUGCUGAGGAAAACACCAACACUGAAACCUUGGCCUCUUGAGCUAAUUUAGCUUAGCUUAAGGAUAUAUUUUUUACUUUCAUGGAGCUUUUGUUGAGGCACACCUUGUGAACAGGGACAUUUCCAUCAUGUUGCAUACACUUUGAGGACGAAGAUUACACUGUUUUUAUUCCUUGUUAUGCUCAGCUCCUGGCAGAGUGUGUGCACAGUAGUAAAAACUCGCUAGAUAAAUAGGUGUGGUUACUGUGACGUGGUGGAAAAGAUAGAUUUUCUCAUUAUUAACUAGGUCUGACUUUGAAAAUGCUUCAUACCUUUCUUUUUCCUUGUUUUUGAAUGACAACUAUACCUACAAUGGAGGCAGAAUUAUAAUUCUAUAACAUGGUAACCUGGUGAAAACAUGGCCAUGUAGCUACUGCUUUCCUGUUGCGUGGUCAAUACCACUGACAUUACUCCUAGUUUAUAUAUAUAUAUAUAUAUAUAUAUAUAUAUAUAUAUAUAUAUAUACACACACACACACACACACACACACAUACACAUACACACACACACAUAUAUAUAUUCUCUCUCUCUCUCUCUCUCUAUGUAUAUUUAUAUAGAAUGAUCCAUUUGACAUACUAUCAUCAGAUAUAUCACCUUAGUUGAUGAUUUGGGGUGGCCUUUAUUGCUUAAAGCACAUUUUUCAAUGUUAAGUCAUAAAAUGAUGAACAUAUGGUCUUAUUAUUAGGUUUCUCUGGAAUCUAGUCUCUAUAUUUGACAAAAAUCUGUUACUAGUAUUUUUUUGAAUAAGAGUCUCUAUAGUCUAUAAAUUUAAAUCUGAUCUUAAUAUAAUGUAAGCCUCCUAUAGAUAGAAAAAAUGUUCCUGUUCACACUGGUAUAUAACUUUGGAUUAUGAUGUUCAGUUUCAUGGUUUUUUUUAAUGUUUAUUUUUUAAUGUUUAAUUUUCAGAGCACUGCAAGCUUAAUUUUGAGACUGAAGGUUUAAUUUCAAAAGGAUAUGUUUAGAAGUCUCUUGUACUGGAUUUCUGAAAACAUUGCAUUUCAUCCUAUUAUGGAAAGUAUAAACAGGUUAUAGCUUAGAAACAGGUGCUAGAAGACUCAGCUCUUCGAACUUCAUAGGGCUGUCUUCCAGCUGUGCACAGCCAAUUGUUUACAUGUGAUUUUGAAUAGCUCUGAAUUAGAAGGCUACAUCUUUCUUUUUUCUCCUCUGUUUGUUAAUUGGCAGUACACAGCAUAAGCUCCAUUCAUGUGUAAAAUAAAAUGCAUUUCAUUUCCAAUGACAUCAGCAUUUUCUCAUAGGAAACUGAAUAUCUAAGGAAAGGAAAUCUUCAAAAUUUUUUGAAUGCGUUGUUAAUUGUGAUUUAGUACAAGUGCACUUUUAAAAAAAUAAGUGUUUACUGAGUGUCUACUUUGUGCCAUGCAUUUCAAGGGAUAAGAAUAUAAUUGUGAAUAUGAUGGGCAAGAUUGAAAUUAUUAUAGGGAUUACAUUCUGGAAGAGGGGUAUGGCCAACUAGCCAACCAGCCAAGCAACCAACCUAUAAACCAACCAGAUUUUUCCAGUUAAUGAUGACUGUCAUGGAGAAAACAGUACAAUGUGUACUAGAGAGUGGAUCAGGGAUUGGUGCAUGGUAGGGUAUAGUGUGGUAGAGUGAGGAUACUUUCUUUUUUUUGGUAAUUUUUUAAUUUUAAGCCUCUAAAAAUUACUUAUGUGACCAUUCUACCAAUAAAAAGUGAGUAUGUAUUUCUAAAAUUAAUUUUACUGCAUGGACAAGAUAACUUUCACAUUUAAUAAAAUUUGUAAUAAUUCCUUGUGUCAUCUUAAUAGCUGAUUCAUAUUUAAAUUUCCUCCAAUUGUUCACCAAUGUCCUUUUACAGGUAGCUUAAAAACAAACAUGAUUGAGUUCAGGGUUUUGAUACUAAAUCUGAUAGUCAUUUCCCUUAUGUCUCUCUUUUGAUCUAAAGUUUUUUCAUAAUAUAGAGACUUGGCCAAAUUAUCUUUUUGAAUAUUUUAUAUUCUGGACAUUGCUUCAUUUCUCCCUGAUAGUGCCAUUUAGCUUACAGUUCAAUACUUUAUGUUUUCUUCAUUUUGGAAUUUACUUCCAAACAUUUUAUUAGAAUCUAAUUAAACCUCUUUAGACAGAAUGCAUUUAGUGAUACAUAUUUCAUACUGCAUUAUAUCUGCUAACAAAUACUGUCAUUAAAAUUAAAAAUUGACCACUAUAUGAUGGAGAUGGUUGCUUGUCCUCUUGUUGCACAUUAAAAUUUCCUUUUACAAUCAGAAAAUAAUCUCUUAGUGCACUUUGGCACCAUAUAUGCAUCUAGUUCCCAAUCAACCUUCUAUGUAGUGGUUUUAAAAUCAAUUUGUUAUCCUUGUCUGAAUAUGUAAUCUCAUUAGACAUCACAAAAUAAUUAACCUUUUCUAAUUCUUCCUUCUAUGGUUACUAUUCAUAAGUCUGCAAUAAAGUAAUUUUACCAUAUGAACUAGAAUCAUUUUGUUAUUUUGAAAUAUAGUUCCUAUUAUUAAGACAGAGAUCUAUGUGUUUAGUUUUUUUUUCUUUGAUUUCCAAUUUUCAAAGAAAAAUGGAUUUUAUUUUGAAGGAGGAGGUUGGGUGGGAUGGGAAGUAUCACUGUGUUUCUAAAUCUAUAUAUAUGAAAUACAUUAAAUUUGUAUACCUUAAAUAAAAAUAAAAGUAAUUGAUCGAUUAAAAAAAGAAAAAUGGAUUCAAUAGUCAAUUUUUAAAAAAGAUUUAUUUAUUUGAAAGUCAGAGCUACACAGAGAGAGAGAGAGAGAGAGCGCGCUCUUCCAUUUGAUGGUUCACCCCCUAACUGGCCACAAAGGCCGGAGCUUCGCUGAUCUGAAGCCAGGAGCCAGGAGCCUCCUCUGGGUCCCCAAUGCCGGCACAGGGGCCCAAGGACUUAGGCCAUCCACCACUGCCUUCCCAGGCCACAGCAGAGGACUGGGCCUCAAACCUGCGCCCACAUGGGAUGCCGGUGCCUCAGGCCAGGGCAUCAACCUGCUGUGUCACAGUGCCGGCCCCUUAAUAGCCAAUUUGAAAGGCAAAAGUGAGGGACCAGCAUUGUUGCAUAGUGGGUUAAACUGCCACCUGGGAAACUGGCAUCCCAUAUGAGUGCCAGUUGGAGUCUCGAAUACUCCACUUCUGAUAUAACUCCCUGCUAAUUGCCUGGAAAAGCAACAAGAGAUGACCCAAGUAAUCGGGCCCUUGUCACUCAUUUGGAAGACCAGGGUGAGAUUUAGGCUUCUAAGUUUGGUCUGGCCCAUCAUGGGCCAUUGUGGCCAUUUGGGGAGUGAUGCAGAUGGAAGAUUUCUCUCUCUCCCUCCCUCCCUCCCUCUCUCUCUCUUUCUUUUCCUCCCUCCCUCCCUCCGUCUGUGCAACUCUGCCUUUCAAAUAAAUGAAUUAAUCUUUAAAAAAAUAAAAGAAUGAGUUUUUCCCUUUUUUCUUUUUUGAAUAUUGUAGAUUCAUGCAUUUUAUUGAUUUGAUGUUUUAUUGAAUAUUCAAUAAUCACAUUAUUUUCUUGUCCUUUUCAGUCCUUAAAUUGUCACAAUUUUGGCCAUUGGAAGACCUCUUCUAGCUGACUCUGGAGUUAUCUUGACAUGACUCCAUUGUAGCAAUGAUUAGGAAGAAUGUUCUUUAAAAGGAUAUAGUGCUUAGUAGCUUGUGGCUUUUGUCAGCUUGUUUGACAAAGUGACGGCCAAGCUAUUUUCACAUCUUGGCUACUGAAAACAGUACUCUGUGCUAAUACCCUUUCAAGAUCUUGAUUUCAAUCCUUCGGGAGAAAUAUGCAGAAGUUAGGUUGUUGGAUCAUAUGGCAGUUCUAUUUUUUAUUUGUUGAGAAACCUCUAUAUUGUUUUCCAUAGCAGCUGCAGCAUUUUGCAUUCCCACCAACAGUGUACAUGGGUUCUCCACAUCCUUGCUAACACUUGCUGUUUUUUGUUUGUUGGUUUUGGUAAUACUGCGUGAUAGACUUAAAAAUUUGUAGAUCACAUGUUAAACAUUCUUUCUAUAAUAAAAAAAUUAAAAGUGACAACCAAAGGUGGGUGUCUAUUGCUAUGGUUAGUAUUUGGCACAUGUAUUGCAAUUAAGGUUUGAAUUUACAAAUCACAGUUUAGCUUCAAUUUUUGAAAUAGUGAAGUCUGUAUGGGACUAAAAUCUAUUAAAUACAAUUUCUAUGCAACAAGCAAAUUAUUUCUUGUGUAUUGUUCAUAAAUAAUGGAAUGCUGUGAAAUGAAUACUUAACAAGAAAUAUAGACUUAUAAAAAUAAUGCACCAUUUGCCUAAGUUUAUGUGUUUAGCAGGAUUUAUUGUGGCUGUAAAUUAUUUCAAAAUUGACUGCAGUAUUCCAUAGAUUUAAUAUGUAGAUAUUUGGCAAGCAGCCCAUUAACAAAACAAAACAGAAGAAAUACUAAGUAGUUUCAUCUACUUUCCCUAAGUUAGAUUUGUAAACCAUUUAGCUUUGCUUUGUUAAGAAUCUUUGCAUACAUUCUGAUAUAUUUAGUAAAUAUUAACAUUUCUAUAAAAUUAUACCUGAGUAGUGUACAUAUCUUUCUGUACUUACAUAUGUAUGUGCAUGUGUGUGUGUGUGUGUGUGUGGGUGUUUGUGUGUUGUGUGGAAGUAGUUAUCUCUCUGUGACUGGAUUCUGAAUCUGGAUACAAACAUCUGGGGUUGGAAGUCCUUGAAAAAUAAAAUAUUGCAUCUGUAAUGAACACAUACAGGUUUUUUCUUCUGAUUAUUCCCUAAACAACAGUGUAUAACAACUAUUUACACAGCAUUUACAUUUCAUUAGAUACUAUGAGUGAUCUUGAAAUUAUUUAAAGUAUAUGAAAGCAUGUGCAUCUGUUGUGCACAAAUAUUGUAUUUACUUGAAGGGCAGAGUUAGAGAGGGAGAGGGAG